AGGAGCCUGCUGAUGUUACUAUGUGUUGUUCAUUCCUGGAUAUCAUUGAUAAGAACUGUGAACAUGACCUGGUCCCUGGCGAGAUGUCAAGUUUCGAAAAAUGUGCUUUUUGUGGAGGACCAUUUGCACCUCUGAGAUGGGUUGGAGAGAGAUGUAUAGUUUGCUGCCAGUCGUGGCACAAAAACUGUUAUCUUAAACAUAUG